rnacentral:rRNA from 1 species
GACGAACGCUGGCGGCGUGCCUAAUACAUGCAAGUAGAACGCUGAAGCGAUGAGCUCGCUCUUCUUGGAUGAGCGGCGAACGGGUGAGUAACGCGUAGGUAACCUGCUUUGUUGCGGGGGAGAACUACGUGAAACGAUAGCUAAUACCGCAUAACAAUGGCUGACACAUGACAUAUAGGUGAAUGGGGCAAUUGCCCCACUACAAGAUGGAUCUGCGUUGUAUUAGCUAGUAGGGGAGGUAACGGCUCACCGAGGCGACGGUACAUAGCCGGACUGAGAGGGUGGUCCGCCACCCUGGGACUGGGAACCGGCCCAAGCUCCUACGGGGGGCAGCAAGAGGGAAUCUUCGGACAUGGGGGCAACCCUUACCGCGCCACGCCGCGUGAGUGGAGAAGGUUUUCGGAUCGUAAAGCUCUGUUGUAAGUCAAGAACGGGUGUGAGAGUGGAAAGUUCACGCUGUGACGGUAGCUUACCAGAAAGGACCGGCUAACUACGUG